AAAAACAGAGAAUGGCUCAAGUCUUAAAGAUCUCAAAGCCAGCCUCCAAUGGCACAUUUCCUCCAAUUAGGUCACAGUACCUCAGCAUUUCCAAAUGAAGCUACCAACUGGGCAGCAAGCAUUCAAAUGUCUAGGACUGUGCUGGUCAUUUCAUAUGAAGCACCAUAAAGCAAUGCUAAAAACCAUUUGGCAGUCUAAAAAAGAAACCCCUGGAAGACAUGAGGGAAACAUCUUGGCAGUAGCAACAUUUGGAGCGAAGAGAGGAAAGGUACCUCUUCCUCCCAAGAGGGCAAUAUUCAAACUGAUGUUGCCCAGACAGUGAAGCGAAUGUUUUAUUCUUCUUGGUUUAACUUUCCUAGAGUGUAUUUUAAUGCCAUUUUUUAAAAACUUAAGUGAGCUGCACAUCCUAAUGAGCCAAACCAUGUUUAAAGGUCCUGAUGAAAACAAACACGAACAAAUCUACAGCAAACUUAAAACAAGCGAGUAUAACUAACGAAUCAAACUGUUUGUUUUAUGUCUUUUUAGUUAGUUUAAGUUUUAACCUAAAAUUCAUUCAUCUAGUUACUAGAAAGUUUAAAUAUAUUAAAAUCAAAUUUAGUAUAUAACUCCAUCUUCACUAUUGCACAGGGGGUCUAAAUAUUGAUUGGAUAUUUCUGAUGAAACAUUAAAACUAAAAUUGAGAUCAAUUAUAAAUAUAAUGCACAGAGGAUUUUAAAGACAUUAUACUAAAAGACAUUGUAAAAAUAUGAUCAUAAGUAUAUGAUCAUAAAAUAUAUAAUCAUAAAUGGUUAUUUAUAUUACUUAUCAGUAAAAGUGAUAUUUGAGAUUAAGCAAAAAAUAUCAUUAAUUUAUUUUUACUUCAUUUAUUUUACCUUGAAAAUGUAGCUAUGAAAAAAUUUAAUUACAUAUAUGGUUCACAUAGUUUUACUGGGCAGCAAUUUUACAGAUCAGUUCUCAGAUAUUAAUAGGUAUCAGAAUUUUCUGCAAGUUAUUUUAAAUCAGUAAGAAGUUUGAUCAAGAAUAAUGGAGGGUUACAAAGAAUGAUCUCUGAGGAAAAAAAAUCAUAAUUCUGAAGGAAUCUGCAAGAUGGAGGGGAAUUGUCAAGGAGGCUUAAGUUGUCAGGUCUGGUCAACAAAGACGACAGAAAGUCAGAUGCAAUUCAAGCUAUCCAUGAAGCCAAGUCUAAUAGAGAAUCGGAAUUAUAUUCCGACUCCAAAGAGACUACAUAAAAGAUUUUCAGUUAGCAGAGAAUUUAGAUAUAUCCAUGUUUUAAAAUGUCUGGGCAACUAACACACAAAAGCUGUGUAGAACUGACCUAGAAUAAAACUACACACAGAAAGACUAUUGCCAUAUUUAACGUAUGCUAAAAACAACCUCCCAAGUACAAUGAAGCCAUCAAAACUAAUGAAUAUGAGCACUAUUGGGAAAACCUCACUGCCUCAGGAAUGCUCUAUUGCUGUGAAAUGACACCAUGACCAUAGCAACUCCGGGGCUUGCUUACACUCAGAUGUUUAGACCAGUAUAAUGAUAGUGAGAAAUAUCUUAACAUGUAGCAAACAUGUAACUGGAGAGGGAGCUGUGAGUUCAACAUCUGGACCAGCAGGCAUCAGGAAGAAAGAGACACCAGGCCUGGCUUGAGCAUUUAAAAUCACAAAGUGCCCUAGCCCCAGUGACAUCCUUCUUCUAGGAGUCUCACACCCUUUCCAAUAAUAGCAUGCCUCCUGUGCCAUUCCUUGAUGACUAAGCAUUCAAAUAUAUAUGAACCAAUGAGGGCCAUUCUUAUUUACCACCAUACUCAUGAUGCAAUGUUAACUAAAAAGGAAGAUGACAUCAUGAUUUUAUCAAUGGCAUAUUUACACACACAUAUUCAUGCAGAAAACAUAUACACAGAGUGAAUGAAUGAAAUAAAAUUAUGUCUAAAUGGGAAAGGGGGGUUGGCAUAUGAGAAGCACAGGCGACAGGCUCACAUUGGGAAGACACACUAUUUACUUUUCUGGCUGAAGUCACUACAUACCUGACAGACACAAGAACGAAGAGUGACUACCGUGGGAGAUUGAAUGCCAAUUUUCCUUUCGAGCUUUAAAUGAAUGGACCAUGUUACAAAGCAGACUGAGAAAUGUGUUCUAAUUAAUUGAAGAGGUUCUCUCUCACGCCUGGCAAUAUUUAUAUACUGGCAAUAUUUAUAUAUGUGAUUUCACUGCAGAGUAAAAUCCGUAUUGUUUUGUUUUCCUACACAGAGGCAUUCCAUUAUGGGGCCAUUCUCUGCGCUGCAAGCACAGAAAAGACACCAUUCACUAGUGGCUAAUUUUAGGCAAACUACACACAAAGCAGAGCCAUUUUGAAAGCAGGAAUCUCAACUGAGAAGAUACCCCCAUUAGAAGAGCCAACGAGAAAGCCUAUGGUACAUUUUAUUGAUGACUGAUCUGGGAGAGUCCAGUUUGCUCUGGGUGAUAUCAGCCCUGCACAGGUGGUCCUGGCUGCUACUGGAAAGUAGGCUGAGUAAGCCAGUAAGCAGCACUCCUGUGUGGUCUCUGCUUCAGUUCCUGCCUCCAGGUUCCUAUCUUCAUGAGUCCCUGUCCUGAAGUCCUUCCAUGACAGGCUGUGAUAUGGAUUUAUAAGUGGAAGCAAUCAUUUGCUCCCUAAGUCACCUUUGGUCAUGGUAUUUUAUCUCAGCAAUAAAAACCCUAAGAUGUGGACAUCAUCCCAUUUACACUUAAAUUGAUGCAUCCAGUCUCCAAAUGGAGAAUAAUGUUGGCCAGUCGAUUUCAGGUAGUCGUAUAAAACUGUUCACCAGUUAAAAAGACAUACAAUAAUCUUGUUAAAUACUCAUGAUUUCUAGACUGCAAGUAGUAUAGCUUGUUACAUGUUAAUUUUAUUUCCUGUACCUUACCCAAUAAUAAAUUAAGUAAUCUUU
rnacentral:lncRNA from 1 species